rnacentral:rRNA from 1 species
AGUGUAUCAUGGGAGUAUAUGAUCGAACUUCUUCAGAAACUAGGUUUCUCGCAUCGUUGGAUAGAUUGGGUAGCGCUCCUUCUGUCAACUUCCGCUUCGGCCUGUCUGCUGAACGACGUCCCAGGUAAAAAAAAUCACAUGCGAGGGCUACGGCAGGGUGACCCUCUCUCGCCGCUACUCUUCAUUCUCUGCAUCGACUCCCUUCACCGGAUGCUGGAGGCCGCUACCAGAGCAGGUGCGCUGAGCACCAUCCCUAGCGCGGCGGCGUGGAUGCGCACAAGUCUGUACGCCGAUGAUGCCAUCAUUUUCAUAAACCAUGAUCGCACAGAAAUAGAUAACCUUCUAGAACUGCUGCAACUAUUCGGCGAUGCGACAGGGUUGCGUGUUAACCUGUCAAAUUCCUCUGCGAUCCCCAUUAGAUGCAACGACAUAGAUGUCUAG